GGCAUUUCCCUAGACGCCCUUUUCAACAUUUAUGCUCAAUGUUUGCAAGAGAUAUAAGCAUAAGGGUCUUACAAACGAAAUGAUGUUUUAAUAACGGCACUUAAAUUGUUGACAAAAAAGAGCACAUCAAAUGGACCAGAGUGAUACCGUAUUUUUGUUAAUGUCCACUUCGAAACGGUUUAAAUCACCUUCAGUAUCUGGUUUUAAAAUUAUGAAACAAAAUCAGUGUACAGCUUGAUACGUGUUUUGAUGAAU
rnacentral:lncRNA from 1 species